GCCGGGCGCGGUGGUGCACGCCUGUAAUUCCAGCUAUUCAGGAGGCUGAAGCAGGAGGAUCACAAUUUCGAGGCCAUCCUAGGCAAUUGAGUGAGACCCAGUUUCAA
rnacentral:sRNA from 1 species